GUCUAUGGCCAUGUCACCCUGAACCCGCUGGAUCCCGUCUGACCUUGGAAGCUAAGCAGGGUCAGGCCUGGUGAGUACUUGGAUGGGAGACCGCCUAGGAAGGCCAGGUGCUGUAGGCA
rnacentral:rRNA from 1 species